rnacentral:misc_RNA from 1 species
GAAGAGAAAAGAGGAAGGAAAAGAAAAUUUUUUUGAAUGAAAAAGAAGCUCUCUGUUUUGUCACCAAUUACCAGCUUCUACUCUUAUAGGUGGACUGAAGGGUAAGCGAGAGAGAAAUAUCAGAUUGCUGACCAUUUCAAAGGCUACCCCACAGAAACAUAAAAGUAAUCACUCGUUUAACCAGUGAGUGAGCGGAGAAACAAC